rnacentral:lncRNA from 1 species
GGUAAGUGGUUCCUAUUAACAUUUUAGGAAGGUGUUAGGCACCUAAAACGUCCACUAACUUGCGGUUAUUCGAUCUGUUUGAAAACGUCUUUUGACUAACUCCAAAAAGGAUUAAAUUUGUUGAAAAGUAGUUGAUUAGGAAAAAAGGUUUUUGCAAAAAUCAGUGUUUUAGCGACUUUACUAAGGGUUUAACUAGGUUCGUAAAACACAUGAGACAAACAAGCAUAAAGAAGAGGGGAAGGGGAGGAAGUAAGGGAUAUUGGACAUUGGGCCCAAAUCAACGAGACCCAUUUCACCUGUCCUAGUCUAAUUGGGUUUUAGACCCAUUUCACCUGUCCGAGUCUAAUUUUCAAGCCUUUGACUUGAAUCUUGCUACACAUGUAUUAAAUACAACUUCGGCUUCUAGGCCCAAAUGAAUGACUAAAAAUAAAUAACUAAAUAAAUAAAGACAACAAUAAAUAAAUGACUAAAUAAAUGAAUGAAAUGGAAACCGAGACUUUCAAGUCUCUCGGCUGCUUCAAAUGUAGGUUUUUAACCCAUUUUCCUUCUUCGUUUAACUCUUCGUAUCCAUGCACUAUGUAACUUUAGACUCUCUUUUGAGCUUGACUUAAUGGAUGGGCCUUAUUGGCCCAUUAGAGAAUGCAAAGAGUUCGUUUAGACUCUAACGAAUUGUCAUGCUAAAGAAGAAAAAGAAACGAAAUUAAUGCACACCCAAAAUACGAAAUGCUACAUGGAGAAAUAGUAUAACAAAUUGAUAAACAAAUAGUCAACUGUAGUAACUCAAACGAACUGAAAGACAGUAAUUCGAAUAUGGCAGAUUCAUGCCAUAAAGUAACACACACCAUACUCUAUCAGAAUAAAAUUGAAACUAGAGGCAUCACAAUAUCACAACUUUUCCAAGAAAAAAAAUGAAGCAUUGCUUUGCGAAGGAAAUUAUAGAUGAACUAAAAAAAUAGGUUACAAAGCCACCCUAUUUAUCGAACAAACUGCAAUUUGGUUAGAUUGAGCCAAGGGGGAUACUUUCGUCCAAAUUAGAUUGAACAAAAAAAAUUAGUGGAACCAUGCUAAACAUCAUUAUACUAUCAAAAUGAUGAGUUAAAGAACUAUAAUAGGAAAUAUUUCACCAUGGACUUAAGAUAACGCAAGCAAUUAUAGGUGCAAGACUGAGGAUUUAAAAUUACAGCAAGCAAUGAUUCAUCGAUAAUCAGGAGAAACAGAAUAAAAAUCCAAUCUUGUCAUACUAAGCUGCAGAUAACAGGCUAAAGGGCUAGGAUUUCAAGUAAAGAAAGUGUUCAACGGAGGAAAGUAAUCAAACUACAUGAAAAAAUGGUUGCUAAAGAAUAGAUUUUACAUAUUCUUUAAAGAUUCGAUGGCUACUACGACAAUUUUGGAAUAAAGAGAAGUCUGAGAAAAUCCAAACUUCGACGAACGAACCUCAUGACACAAGGUAAUCAAUUAAGGGUAGAAUAAUGAGAACAUCUUCCCUAGAUGCCUAAUCUUCAUUAAAACUGAAUUCCAGAGGUAGCCAUCCGAACUUAUUAUUAUCUAACCUUUCAUACUAAAAAAAUGCGACACUCAUGCCAAUACAUCGAGAAAGGUCGACAUCAACGGAACAUAGAAAUUUUAACAGGUUUGGAGGGGGAAAAUAGUAAACACUCAAGCAUUAUUCGAUAGUCAGAAAAUGCCUUACAGAACUCCAAAAGUUCUAGGCAGAUGAAAAAAAAUUGAAUCAAAAGUAAAGAAAGAAGAGGGAAAGCAACUUGAAUGAACAUCGACUAGCCUAGGAAACAUAAAAUUAACCAUAGGAAUUUUAUUCUGAAGGUAGAUAAGGUGAAAAUCUAACGUACGUCUAACUAUCAAAACAAAGGGAACAAAUGAUGUAGGGACAGGCUAGAAAUUUUUCAAAGUAAGAUGUAAUUAAGCAAGUUGAAACAUCUAGGCAAACAUGUUUACAGUGAAUGAUCAAAGCAGCACCUUUUUUUUUCUUUAAUUAACACAUAACAAGAACGCCAUUCGCACUUCUCAGAAAUACAUUUGCGAGGCCCUCCUUACUCUCUUUUUGACCUCAACUUGAAAUGAACUUUCGAAAGCCCAAAGUAGGGUCAUCGAGAGUUCAUGGGACUGUCCCCUUACCUCAGAUGUAUACCCAUCAUCUCUAUCAGUCCCAAAGGUCAAAAGCUAUGAGGUAGUUUGAAUCCUACUGAUUCAGUAAAUUAAACCAUCACCGGUGACCUUGUAUUAAGGACAUGACUUAAGAAAACUUGGGUAAAUCAGAGCCAAGGUAUGCUAAAGAAGACAUAACUAAAAUAAAAUAGGAAUGUUCAAACAUAGAGAUAGCGAAUCAAACCAUAAGCAGCAUGUGAAAAAUGAAAACCAUGGUUAAAUAAUUAACUAACGAUAUUAAGGUUUAAACAAUAGAUUGCAAAACCGAGGGAAGCAACACGAAGCUGAAAUCAUGGAUCAAACGAUUAUAAUAACAAUUAGCCUAGCAUAGCAAAAAAUGCUACAUCAAAAAGGAAACUGGAAAGGAAAGGCGCAAUCUUGAUGAUAUAAAUCUUUAUUCAUACCAUAAAUCUCAUAUAACCAACAAAGUCAAUUAAAAGAUAGUAUAUUUUGCAUAAUCACAUUUAAAAUUACAACACGAGCACUGCUUCAGCGAAAUGGCAUAACAAAGUCAUUCAUAAUUACCGCUGAAAUAUUAACUAAUUCCACGUAGAGAAAGGGGGAUGAAGCAAAAAGUGCCAAAAUUAAAAGAACAAGAGUGUAUUCACCUCUUCUGGGGCAGCAAACCAGGACGACGAGUUGACGAUAGGAUUCCGACCACCGGAAAAUAUUGUUGUCAACUCGGAGUCUCUUUCCUAGCCAAUGAAUUCUCUAAAAAUCAACAGAAUUUCUACUGAAAGGUUGAACUUCUUAGAAAUUUUCUUUCUUUUUAUUUCUUUUUCUUUCUUCUUCCUCUCUCUUUCUUGUCUUUCCUCUCAAAUUUUCCCAAAUUACCCAACCCUCAAAUUUCUAACCUCCAUAGAACCUCUCCAGAUUUUUUGAAACCCUCCCCGCCUUCGAGACUUCUAAAACUCCCUUUUUAUAGAGAAAAACUAGGGUUUUCUAGGACUUCAAUCUUAUGGAACCAAAAAAUGGGGCCUCCUGGGGUAAUUUUGGGAUUUUCUUUCAAAAAGGAAUUCAAAAUUUAAACUUAGAAACAUUUUCCACCAAUUUUAAAAUUUUAAAAUUUUCUUUGUGAAAUCCAAAAUUCUCCAGCCAAUGGAUUUGAAGGGAUGAAAUUCCUUCAUGGACCAAUAGAAAUUCAGCAGGUGUGUACGAAUUCGUACCAAUAAACCCAAAAAUCUUGGGAUUCAACCUUUGGAGAGGCCAACGCAUCAUAUUCUAGAAAAUUCGACCAAUUUCUUUGCGAAUCUGCAUGGGUCAGGGUCGGGUCGAUUCGAACGGAGUUGGGCCAGUUCUUGGGAAACUGGUUUUCACCGAAUUUGGGUUGGGUUUCACUGAUAUCAACACGGAGUUGGUGGUAGAAGUCGGUAUAAGGUCGAGUUUUGGGGUCAUUUGGAGCUGAUUAUCAUGUUUUUGGCUGUUUUGGUUGAUGUUGAAGGUUCUUCUUGUUUUGUUUGCUGGUGGAGAGGAAAUAAAUGGGCAUGGUAUGGGUCAUUGUUUAGAAAGUGGGCUGGGGUGUUUUAAGAUUUGGGCUUAGGUGAUUUGUGGUUUGUGGUUUGGGCCUGUUAAUAUGAAAAGGAACUGUGCUGGAGGGAUCUGAUUAUUCUUGGGUAGAAUUAGGAUUUCAGUAAUGUAGAGAUUUAGGCUAUUUAUCAAAUAGCCAACGGAUGAAAAUUUAGACAAUCUUAUUUAAAUUUUAGCCUAAUUUGAAUUAAAUUGACCAAUUACAAUUAUGGUCAAAUUAAUUUCAAUUAAGGUCUAAUUUAAUAUAUUGACUAAAUUAAAACAAUAUUUGAAAUGAAUUACACCUAAUUCAAUUCCGAAGUUUCUUGAGUCAAUAAAAUCAAACUCAUAUUUAUCCAAAUAAAUUAUUUUGGAGAAUAGAUUAUAUUAAAUCAAAAUCUUAAUCAUUUGAAUUUAAGCCUUGAUUAAGAUCCGAUAUUUUGUAAAGAAAAUAUUUAAGUAUCAAAAUUAUAUAAUUUCGUAUAAUUGAAUAUGAUAGUAUAUAAUCGCUACUUAACAUGGCAACAUUACGUACAUAAAGUAUUUUGAAAAUUCUUUAUUCGGAUAAAAUAAAUGUUGCAAUUUUAUUUGAAAAUCGAAGAAACUCCGAAUUAAUCUUAGUUAUGGAGGACAAAAAUUAGGUGUCAAGAACUUCCCCCUCCCUUUGGGUAGGAUGGAUGUAAGUAAUCCUGGGCAAAGGGAGAUUGACGUUCCUAAUUUUUGUCUGACCAUAGAUUCGAAACUGUGGGAGGUUGGAAUGCAGUCGAGUUUUCUACAUAGAUCCUAGCCUACAUAUCCCCGAGACUCAGGGAAUCAGACUGCUUGUAGUUCGACUCAAUCGGUAGAAAAGAAAGUCUUUUAUUUCAGACCAUCUUUUGCUCGAAAUGAGUGACAAGUUGAUCGAGUUGCGAAAAAAAGGGUUGUAACAUCUUAACCAUGAAUGUGGGAUCCUUCACAUCCAUAGGAAAGAACUUACCUGAACAUAAUCUCCAAAAAUCUAAGUGUGUCUUCACCCGAAUUUGAAAGAAAGAGAAGGUUACCCUCGGUAUGAGUUUAGAAAUAUCCCGAAGGUGAAGUCGAAAUCAGAAUAUCCUGAAACACCCACAUGCCUUCUAAAAAGGGUGUAGUUUGAUGGUGGUGGUGAUCAUUCUUUAGCUCGUGUCCAAAUAGUUUGACGUCUCUCUUUAGACUAUGUCUGGUUUUGCUGCUAAGAAAGAGUUCCACGUUGUGAUGCGUCCUAUAUGAAGUCGUCUGCACCUGUGGUUUUGAUUUGAGAUUUCCAUCUUCUUGGAUGCUCUCGACAAUGCUUCAAGAAAAAAUGUUAGUGUUAAACAUAAUUCACAAAAGAGGUAUGUAGUUUUUUACCAUAUCUCCACGUGAGUUGUGGCCUGAAAAGCAGAGUCAUCUCUUCAUGUACCUGUUUGGAAUGAAAUAAUUGGCAAUAACAAACACAACAACCCUCUUGGUUGUCGUAUAAUGAUGACAUUUAUUGAUUGGAUAUGCCUUCAAAGUGGGGUGACACUUUUGGACACCGGCGAUACUUUAUGUAGAAUGGUCCCUACAACUGUGUAACCUUGUGCUGGUGUGGCAACCCUUUUGGUUACCUAUAUCACUUGUUGUACGUGGAAUGAUAACCUCUCCGGUUAUAGCCAAUGAUUGAUUUAUAAAUUUUCCUUAAAUUAUCAAUCUUUGGAUAAUCCUGCGUAUUAUUUGAUGUUGGAUACGAGGCGACUUACAGAUAUCCUUUGAAUUGCUAGCUUUUAGGUAAUCCUGCACAUUAUCUGACCUUGGAUAAGGUAUGGCUUAUAGAUAUCUCUCCAAUCUCUAGAUUUUAGGUGUUCCUGCACAUCAUCCGACCUUGGAUAUAAUAUGACUAAUAGAUAUCACUCAAAUUACUAGUCCUUGGGUAAUCCUGCACAUAAUAGAUCUUGGAUAUGACGCAACUUAUAGAGAACCCUUGGAUGUAUCAAUUUGAUAAUCUCGCAUAUUCUCCGGUAAGGAUUUAGUUGUGACUUAUGGAUAACCUCCAAACUAUCAAUUUUUGGACGAUCUUGCACACUAUCUAGUUAGGAUGUUGUUGUGGCUUAUAGAUGACCUACAGGCUAUCAACUCAUAGGUGAUCUUGAACACUAUCCUAUUUCAAAUAAUAUGACUUAUAGAUGACCCUCAAAUUGUUAAUUUCUAGGAAAUCUUAUAUAUCAUUCAUCCUUAGAUAGCGACUUAAAGGUGUCUCUUCAAAUCGUGUGCUCUUGAUGCAUUUAGAUGCUGAUUCAUAAAAUGAUGAGAUAUCCUCGACACUAGCAUUUGUGUCUAGAGUAUCGACAGCUAUUUAAAAUGAUAAUGAUAUCCUCGACGCCAACGUUUAUGUCUUGCAUUUCAACAGAUAUAAAAUAAUGAUGAUAUUCUCAAUGCCAAUGUUUAUGUAUUGCGUGUCAACAACUAUUAAAUAGCCCUCUUGGCAAUAAUAUACAAUGUCCCUCUCGGCGAUGAUAUGAAUGGCCAUCUUUGCAAUGAUAUGCAAUGGCCCUCUUGGCAAUGAUAUGCAAUGGCCCUCUUGGCAAUGAUAUGCGAUGGCCCUCUUUGCAAUGAUAUGCAAUGGCCCACUUGGCAAUGAUAUGAAAUGGCUCUCUUGGUAAUGAUAUGAAAUGGCCCUCUUAGUGAUGAUAUGCAAUAGCCCUUUUGGCGAUGAUAUGCAAUGGCCCUUUUGGUGAUGAUAUGAAAUGACCUUCUUGGCAGUGAUAUGAAAUAACAUAAAAUGGCCCUCUUGGCAAUGAUAUGCAAUAGCCCUCUUGGCAAUGAUAUGCAAUGGCCCUCUUGGAAAUGAUAUGAAAUGGCCUUAUUGACAGUGAUAUGAAAUAAUAUAAAAUGGCCCUCUUGGCGAUGAUAUGAAUGUCCCUCUUGGCAGUUUGAAAACAGCUUCAUCUUUGUUUGUCUGCGUCUUGCUUUCUUCAUGUACCUAUACAUGAAGUAGGCAAUUAGUAGACACAAAGUUACUCUGGCCCUGUUUGUCUUAAGGUGAAUUUUGAGGGCGGCUUUCUUCUCUUCCUCCUAUUGAGUGAUCUUUUGAUUAUUGUAUUUAUUAUGCUAACUCUCUUGAAUAUACCUGCACUCAAAAUAUUUAGUAGGCACAAAGUCGCUUUUGCUAGCGACUAUUUUUUAAAAAUUUCUAAAUACAAUAUUCAUAAAGAAAAUAAGACGCCUUUUUUUAUCCUUUAUGAUCUCAAGAAAUGAGAUGGAAAAUUCAAAAGGUCAUCGAUAAAUAGGUAUUAAACCCAUUUUUGGGGCUACCCUAAAAUAUCGUUCUUAGUCAUUGUAUGCUCUGGCAUGGCUCCCAACUUGCUUGGGGAUUUUGAAAGAAACACUCAUUUUUGUAUAUCGAUCCCCGUAUCGACAAAAAAAUGAUUAGUUUGAAUGAAACUACUCCGUGUUGACUUUUUUGUCUGCUCGAUUUGCUCCUCGCCAUCGUUUAGGUGUCCCAUCACAUUUGUAUCUCCACCCUGGGUCUUUGAUCCCAUAGAUGCCCAGGCAAUCACUAAGUAAAAGAUUUGUAAAGAUUUUUUACAAAAGUAGUCUUAUUUUUAGCAAAUAGUUUCGAAAGUAUCUGUAAAAGCUUUAGAAAAUUUCUGCCAGUCAUGUCAUGUACUAGCUCAAAAAAUGUCUUCCUCGUGGUUUUGACUAUAUUCGAUGGAUGAUUUCCAAAACUCAUGAUCAUUGUUGGAGGGUUCUUCAAACAGUUCUUGUGAUAGCCAGAAAUUGAGUCUAUCAUCCAUAAACUCAUGAUCAUUGUUGGAGGGUUCUUCAAACAGUUCUUGUGAUAGCCAGAAAUUGAGUCUACCUAGACUUUGUCGCAGUUGGUGGCUUCAAAAGCUUGUUUAACCUCUAGUGCCGAAGAAUAUAGUCCAGUAUUUAGUGGAAAUUUUGAGGCCUCCCUCAAAAUUUCUGCCCCAGUUUAAAGUUGUUUGAUAUGAUAUCACCUCGAGAAGAUCCAAAGUCUUUGUUGGUCUUCGUUCUUCUUAUUGGAUGUCGAUCUUCUCUUGUGAAUUUUUGAGAUUCCUUCUCGAACAGGUUCCAUUUUCUGGGGUUAAUAUGACCGAGCCGUUAGGGCGCCUACGUAUCCCGUUGAAGCAGGAAUCAGGUCAAACGUAGUUCAAGACUAUGCUAACGAUAUAUAGAGAAAUCUAAUGUGUUGACCGAAGCCAACCUAGGCCGCCUACGUAUCCCUUUUUGUUGGAAAUUCAGGUUAAACGUAGUUCGUACCUAAAAGAAAAUGAUAAAUUUUCCUAAGGGGUUGACUGAAGCCGACAUAGGCCACCUACGUAUCCCUUUUAGGAAUUCAGGUCAAACGUAGUUCAUACAUAAAAGGAAAGGAUAAAAUUUUCUAAGGAGUUUACCUAAGCCGAUAUAGGACGCCUAUGUAUCCCUUUUUGGGAAUUCAGGUCAAACGUAGUUCAUACAUAAAGGAAAAAGGGUUCUAGGCAAUUACGCAUUAUGAAACACAUUAUUACAAGGCGAUUACAGAUAAACUAAGGACACACAAAAAUUAGCACGUCUUUCAAACAUAAUAUCUUUUUACUGCAUCAGAAUUGAUUGGUUUGGUCCACUCUUGGCCAUCCAUCUUAGACAAAAUUAGAGCCCCUCCAGAUAGUACCUUGCGAACUAUGUAUGGCCCUUGCCAAUUUGGAGCGAACUUGCCCUUGUACUCUUCUUGGUGAGGAAAUAUGAGUUUGAGAAACAAUUUCCCAACUUCGAAUGUUUGAGUUCUUACUUUCUUGUUAAAGGCACAAACCAUCCUGUGCUGAUACAAUUGACUAUGAUAUACAAGAACCAUUCUCUUUUAAUCAAUCAACAUGAGUUGUUCAUAGCGAGCGCGAACCCAUUCUUCAUUGCUUAGCUCGGGUUCCUGAACAAUCCUUAGGGAAGGUAUUUCAACCUCAACAGGUAUCACAACUUCAUUCCCAUAAACCAAUAGACAAGGGGUCGCCUCGGUGGAGGUUCGAACUGUUGUACGAUACCUUAGUAAAGUGUAACGCAACAUCUCAUGCCAUGAUCUAUCAUUUUCGAUCAUCUUUCUCAAGAUCUUCUUGAUGUUCUUAUUGGCAGAUUCCACGGCUCCAUUCAUCUGUGGAUGAUAUGCUGUAGAGUUGUGAUCCACUAUAUUAAAUUAAUCACAAAUUUCAUUCAUCAAGUGACUGUUCAAGUUUUCCCCAUUAUCAGUAAUAAUCGAUUAUGGCACUCCAAAUUGGCAGAUCAAGCUAUUCCUUACAAAAUCUGCAACCACUUUCUUAGUGACUGCUCUAUAUGAAGCAACUUCGACCCACUUAGUAAAGUAGUCAAUAGCAACCAAAAGAAAUCUAUGCCCAUUCGAUGUCGGUGGCUCUAUUGGUCCGAUAACAUCCAUGCCCCAAGCUACAAAAGGCCAAGGCGAAUUCAUCGCAUGAAGCUCAUGUGGAGGCAUUCGAAUCAAAUCUCUGUAUAUCUGGUAUUUUGGACACUUCUGCACAUACCUGCUACAGUCAUUUUCCAUAGUCAUCCAGAAGUAACCGGUUCUCAGGAUCUUUCUAGCAGGGGAAAACCUGUUCAUGUGGGGCUCACAAAAUCCAGUGUGUACUUCUUUUAUCAAUUUAUUGGCUUCCGCAGCAUUGAUGCAUCUUAAGAAUCCCAAAUCUGGAGUCCUCCUAAAAAGGAUUUCCCCACUUGAAAAAUAGUUCUUCGCCAAACGCCAGAUUGUCUUCUUUUGGUUGUUAGUGGCCUAUUCAGGAUAUAUUCCAGAUUCUAAAUACCUUUUGAUGUCAUAAUACCAUGGCUUUCCAUUAGGCUCCUCUUCAACGUGUGCACAAUGGGUGGGUUGCUCUUUCAAGCUUAUUUCCAAAGGAUCAAUAUAACUCUGAUCUAGGUGCUGAAUCAUAGAGGAUAUAGUAGCCAAAGCGUCAGCAAACUCAUUUUGUAUCCUUAGGAUAUGUCUGAAAUCAACUUCUUUGAAUUUUCCACACAGUUCCCACACCAGCUCCACAUAAGGAGUAAUCUUGGAAUUUUUUACCGCUCAUUCUCCACGUACCUGAUGAAUUAGUAAGUCUGAAUCCCCGAUGACUAGAAAUUCAUGAAUGCAUAUAUCAAGUUCCAGUUUGAGACCUAAGAUGCAAUCUUCAUAUUCGGUCAUGUUAUUGGUGCAUGGAAACCCAACUUAGUAGUUACCGGAUUGUGUUGACCCAUUUUUGACACCAAAACUGCUCCAAUUCCGGAACCUUUGAAGUUGACCGCCCCAUCAAAGAAUAGCCUCCAUCCGGGGUAAAUUUUUGUAAUGUCUUCUCCUACGAAUAAAAUUUCUUCAUCUGUGAAAUAAGUUUGAAGUGGCUCAUAUUCAUCAUCAACCGUAUUUUCUGCUAAAUGAUUUGCUAAAGCUUGCCCCUUGAUUGCAUUUUGAGUUACAUACAUAAUGUCAAACUCACUUAGCAACAUUUGCCAUUUGGCUAGCCUUCCCGCGGGCAUGGCUUUCUAGAAUAUAUACUUCAAUGGAUCUAUUCUCGAGAUAAGGUAUGUUGUGUAUGACGACAGAUAAUGCCUCAACUUUUGUGCGACCCAAGUCAAAGCGCAACAUAUCCUUUCUAUGAGAGUGUAACAGGUUUCAUAUGGUGUAAACUUUUUACUCAAGUAGUAGAUGACUUUCUCUUUCCUACCGGUCUCAUCAUGUUGCCCGAUGAAACAUCCGAAAGCAUUUUCUGAGACUGAUAGGUAAAGUAGCAAUGGAAUUCCUUCUCUGGGCAGAACCAAAACCAGCAGUGCAGACAAAUAUUUCUUGAUACAGUCGAAAGUUUUCUGACAUUCUUUUGUCCACGCAUUCAAUGUAUUUUUCUUCAAUAUCUUGAGAAUUGGCUCGCAUAUGACUGUUGACUGAGCAAUAAACCUGCUAAUGUAAUACAAAUGGCCCAUGAAACUUAUAACCUCCUUCUUGGUCCUCGGCGGUGGCAAAUCCUGAAUUGUCUUAAUAUUGGAUGGGUCUAACUCAAUGUCUCUCCUGAUGACUAUAAAUCCCAGUAACUUCCCUAAUGGCACACCAAAAGCAAACUUAGUAGGAUUUAACUUCAAAUUGUAUUUUCUUAAUCUGUUGAAGAAUUUCUCCAGAUGGGUCAGAUGAUCCGAACUCUCGCGAGAUUUGAUAAUUACAUCAUCCACGUACACCUCAAUCUCUUUAUGAAUCAUAUCAUGGAAAAUUAUCGCCAUAUCCCUUAUAUAUGUUUCACUUGCAUUCUUGAGACCAAAAGGCAUUAACCUGUAAUGAUAAACACCCCAGGUCAUAAUAAAAGCCGUCUUUUCUGUGUCUUCCUCAUCCAUCAAUAUCUGAUGAUACCCGACAAAACAAUCAACGAAAGACUGUAUUUUAUGUUUUGCACAAUUAGCAAUGAGGAUGUGGAUGUUGGGCAGCGGAAAAUUAUCUUUAGGACUGGCUCUAUUCAAGUCUCUAUAAUCAACACAAAUUCGAAUCUUGCCAUCCUUUUUUGGUACUGGGACAGUAUUGGCUAGCCAUGUCGAAUAUUUUGUGACCUCUACAACCUUAGAAUGGAUUUGUUUUGUCACUUCUUCCUUGAUAUUUAGACUUAAAUCUGUCUUGAAUUUCCAUAUUUUUUGCUUGACUGGAUCAAACUCUGGAUUUAUCGGCAACUUAUGCGACUCAAUUCUGGUGCUCAAUCCCGACAUAUCAUCAUAGGACCAAGCAAACACAUCAAUGUAUUCCCGCAAUAGGUGAAUGAGAUCUCUCUUUUGUGCUUCCGCCAGGUGGACACUGACAUUUUUUUCUUUGAUUUCAUCUUGAUCUCCUAGGUUGACUAUUUCAGUUUCCUCUAGGUUGGGCUUCUCUCAGUUCUCAAACUCCUCUAUAUCUUCAACUAACCGUUUCUCAUCUUCCGAUCAUCAUCAUUCCCCUUAUUUUGUUCGUCUAAGCUUUGGCAUGAUAUGAUAUUGGAAGGGUUUGAGUUACUGCUACUGUAAUAAACAAACAAACCAAUUUAGAUGAUAACAAGAUAAUAAUAAAAUAUACGAAUAGGGGUUUUUUUGAAAUAAUUUUUUAAACGAAGGAAGGCCUAUUUAUUGAAAUUUGAGAGAUUACAAAACUAUGGCUCAUGACUCGCGCAAAUACAAGCCCAUGCCCCUUUUUUUUAAAGCAGUAAAAGUAUGAAAAGAAAGUUUUGAGAUAUAAAGGUUGGAUCGCGGGACCUCCUCCGGAUCAUCACCGAUUUUAAAAACUAUUAGUAAUUGCCCUUUUAUCUACCACGAUGGGUGAAGGGUUAUGAGUGGAGUGGCGGUCCAGUUUUGCAAGGCCUCCCAUGGCACAAUCUUUUUCACCCCGCUGGACUUUGGGAAAUCUUAUAGCACAACAUUGUAUCCCUCGAACAAAUAUCCUAUCCCAUCCCCAUGACCAUCAUUAUUCGAUGUCUCACAUACUGGAAAUGACUGGUACAAGAGUGGCAAGGGCCUAAACAAACUCUCCUCUGACUUACCCUCAACCUUAUCCUUCUCGGUAGGCUGAUAUCCCAACCCAUACUUAGAGGCUUUCUCUAGGAUCAUAAUAGGCUCAAUAAUUCCUUGCAGAUUAUUACCCAAACCCCGACCAGGAUCAAAUCCAUUUCUUAACAUCACCGUCGCAAUCAUUUUGUAGACAGAAGACAUUGGUGCUUUGGGUGUUAGAUCCUUCUCCACAGUAUUUACAAUUUCCACUAUAUAGAAACUACUACCCUUUGGAAUAUCUUCAAUCACCAGCAUAUAACCAUUAGGAUGAUCCGCUCGGCUUCCUUCCCCUUGGAUGACUACUUCAUGAUCCUCCCAAAUGAACUUCAAUAAUUGAUGAAGGGGUGAUGAAACGGCCUUUGCACCAUGUAUCCAUGGUCUUCCCAAGAGCAGGUUGUAGCUAGGAUGAAUAUCCAUAACAUGAAACUUAGUUUUGAACUCAGCAGGUCCCACUUGGAUGUACAAAUCAAUUUCUCCUAUGAUAUCUCUCUGCCCUCCAUGAAAUAAUCUCAUAUUUACGUGGCUUUGAUGAAUUUUUCCCAAAUCAUAUCCCAUUUAAACCAAUGUGGAGAGAGGAAAAAUGUUCACACCAGAUCCGUUAUCUAUCAAUACAUAAUUAAUCGCAUAGUCUCGGCAAAUGACAGUGACGUGUAAGGCUUUGUUGUGCAUGGCUCCCUCGAACGGCAACUCUUCAUCACUAAAUUAUAGGAGAUGAUUCCCCACAAUUUUCCUAUAAUCGCAGCUAGGUUCUUAACACUCAUUCCUAAGGGAACAUACGCUUUAUCCAAGACCUUUGAUAGAGCUUGUCGGUGGUAUUAGGAACUCAUUAUUAAUGGCAAAAUGGAAAUUUGCGCUGGAGUUUUCUCUAAAUGUUUGACAAUUGAAUAGUAUUUUGGUUGUAUACACCUCUAAAAUUCCUCAGCCUACCCUUCAGUAAUUGGCCUUUUCUGUGAAUCUUUUUUGUUGGUCAAUUCUUCAGGGAUGUAGCAUCGUCCCGAUCGCGUCGUCCCCUGGGAAAUAGCUGUCUUACAAUAAAUUACUUCCUUGGCAGGGGAGUGUACACUUGGAUCGAGGCCGUCAUCAAUAUAAAUGGGGCUUUCUCAUUGACACUUAAGGUAGCCAUAACUCUCUCUAUCUUUUCUACCUCUUCCGCCCUUUUGCGUUUUUCUGAAUUCACCUUAGUAAUAGUCUUGCCAGAUGCCUAUUCUCCUUCUAUUUAAUCAAUUUAACUGUAGAUCCCCCAUGAUUAGGCAAUGGGUUACUGUUAACAUUUGGUGUCGAUGACUGAAGCGUGAUGGCCUUUUGAUCAAUCAAAUCUUGGAUCUUAUGUUUCAAGAUAAUACAGUCCUCGUUACUGUGCCCUGUUGCUCUUAAAUGAUAGGCACAAUUUUGAUCAGGAUGAUAAAAUUGGGAGUUGGGAUUGACAGGCUUUGGCUUGAUCGGUUGCAAAUGACCGGCAUUCUUCAAUCUUUCAAAUAGUUGCGUGCGUCUUUCAGCCAGCGACGUGAAGUUUCGAGGAGGUUUCUUUUCAAUGUUUUGAUGCAGAGGGUUAUAAUGGUUCUGAUUUAUAGGAGGAGGCACUUGAUGAUAAUUCAGAGGUGCUUGGAUGUUUAUUCAGUUGUUUGGAAGAGUGGAUUGGACAUGAGGGUGAUAAUUUGGCGGUGGAGCUUGAUAUUGGGGAAAAAUAUUUGGUUGUGGAGGUUGGUAUUGGGAUUGGACAUUUAGGAGUGGAGCUUGGUACUGGGGUUGGCUAUUUGGGAGUGGAGCUUGGUAUUAGGGUUGGAUGUAGAAUACAUGCUGAAAGUUUGGUGACGGUAGGGAAGAGAAAAUAUUCCUAGAGUUGGACCUCUUUUUAAUUUUUGCAAUAGAAUCAGCAGAAACCGUGCCUACAUCCUCCUUUUUCUUCUUCAGGAACAUAGCAGUCCCGGAUGAUGUUGGGGUCCUGGCAAUUUUUCUUGUCCGAAUACCUUCUUCUAACGAUUCACCUAUUUUUACCAAAUCUGCAAAAGUUGCCCUGACAGCGGACACCAUCCUGGUAUAAUAUUCUCCUUCUUGAGCACGAGAGAACACAAAUACCAUUUCUUCCUCAGACAUGGGGGUUGCACUUUGGCAGCUUCUUUCCUCUAAUAGCAAGCAUAAUCUCAGAAACACUCAUUACUUCUCUAUUUGAUCCGAUCUAGUGAAUAUCGGUCAGGGACUAUUUCAAUGUUAAACGCGAACCUGUCAAGGAAACCCUUGGCCAAUGUUCUCUAACUAGUCCAUCUUUUCAGGAAUGAGACAUGAACCAUUCUAAGGCUUCGCCACUUAAACUUCGGCUGAACAAACGCAUCAACAAUGCUUCAAUUUUCCUUACCCCCACCAUUUGAUCACAAUACCUUCUUAGAUGGGCCAUUGGGUUUCCGGUACUGUUGAACACUUCAAACUUGGGGACCUUGUACCCUUCUGGUAGAUCUACUCCAGGGUUAACACAUAAGUCGUCGUACCCUAAACCGUCGUGGUCCCUCGCUCAAUGAGAUUCUUUAAUCCUCAUGAUCUCUUCAUUCAUACAUAGCAACUUCAUUUCAAGCUCGGUCCUCCACUCUUUCUCCUUUUCUUCGUAAUGGUCCAUCUCAGGAUUAGGAAGGGGAUUAUAGAUGUCGAGGGAUAUGAUGGCACAAGGAGGAUUUGGAAGGGAGGCUUGAUUUUGCGGAUGUAAGGAAGUUGGUUGGUAGGUGGGGAGGAUGUUUUGAAAUUUAGAAAGGUUUUGUGGAAUUUAUGAGUAGUUUGGUGGCAUCUGUGAAUUUGGAAACGAAUUUGGCCGAUUCGGGGAUAAAUUUGAUGGAAGGUUUGGGGAUGGAUUUUGUGGAUUUGGGAGUGAAUCUUGUGGAUUUGGGCAAGAAUUUUGUGGAUUUGGGCAAGAAUUUUGUUGAUUUGCAAAUGGGUUCUGGGGAUUUGGAAAUGGAUUCGGAGAUGGGUUUUGUGGGGGUAGAGAUGGAUUUUAUGGAUGGUAAGCAUUUGGGUUAUUUUUACGAUUGGUAUUUUGGACAAGUGGAGGGGCGGAUACGGACGAUAUGUUAUUUGGUUGAUCCCCGAGAAUAGGUGUACUGAGGGGAGGGAUUUAGAGUGGAGUCCCGUGUCCUCCUGGAGCAGGAGCAUUAACAGAGAUGACCAGGUGAGCCAAAUCUCAAGUAAGAUUUAUUUACUCCUGAAGCAUUUCUAGCUUUCUUAUGAGUUCCGCAAUCAUCUCACUUUGUUCCGCUAUUAUAUUGUCAUCAAUGCAUUUGCUUCAUCAUUUCCAGUCAUUAUUGAAUGAUGGUCAGAGGAUGGGAUUUUGUGCGCUUUUGACCGGGUGAAGUAGGGAUGUUAGCUUAUAUCAACACGGAGUAGUUUCUAUUAUUUGUAAAGUAAAACAACUCAAAAGCAGAUGUGCUAGUUUUUGUAUGUGAUAAGUAAUGCAAAAGAUUUGACAAGAAAUAACCACGUAGAGUUGUUUGAGUCAUAGCAAAUUCAUCCAUAGGAGCAUAGCGGAUAAACUAUCCUUUGAUCCAAACAAACACACAUAAGCACAUAAGACAAUUAUAUUACACUAAACAUUAUAAUAAUGCAUAUCCUAAUUGGGGUGACCCUUUUUGAGUCAAGGGUUUAGGCUUAACGAUUUUGAAGAAAAUAUAUGCUUCCUUAAAGUCAAUCUAUUAUCCCCCAACUUAUAUAGACACGAUAAAGGGCAUAAAUUCCUACAAAAGAUAACAAAAGAGGGAUACAAUUUUUAGGGAAAACGGGAAAUAACAUGAAAGAAGAUAAGUUCCCACGCAGGGGAAAUAGAAAAACUAGCUACUGGAGGCUCCUUCAUCUGCCUUUGCCUUGUUUUUCUUGUUCACCUCCUGCGAUAUUUGAUACCUAGUGAUGAUCAAAUGACUUCCGCAUAACUUUGCCUUGCUUUCUAAGUCAUUUUUCCUAUACUAUCGAGUUGGGAGGCCAUGCUAUCAUCCAAAUGGGUUAAAAAUUGCCUAUCAUUAGCCUCUUGCCUAGCUCUUUUCAACUCUUCCCUCAACGUAUGUAUUGUUAAAGCAUCUUCUACAUGCAACUGUCGGUGCAUGAUUUUACUUUUUUGAAACUCAUCUUGAAGCUUGUGGAAUUGGAUCUGAUGCUCGAAAUCUACAUCCAUGACCCAAUUGAUCACGUUCGGCCCCGAAAUUAAUGCUCUAGCGAGGCUUUUUUUUAACCACUCCUUGUAAGUAUCGCUGACUUCAGGUUCAUACCCUACACGGAAACAGACUUCCAUCCACCUUCUUUUUCUCCAUCUAUUUAUCAUGUAGUCUUUGAGCGGGGGCUCGCUUUCAUCAUAUUUGGUUAAUCUGAGAAUAGAAUUGAUUUGAGGUGUCUCCUGCUUGAUCUCGAAUUGCCUAAGAACUCUACCAGGAUUGUAGGGACGGGUUCCCCUGAGACCCAAAAGCACUAGAAAAGGCCACUCGCCCCCUAGAAUGGUGUAUUUCCCUGAACGAAGAUAGUUAAUGGACCAUUGCACAUCGUCAUCUCUUAAUUCCCCAAGAGUCUUAAACCAAAAUUCAUGAGAUGCUUCACUUUUGUACUUGUGUAGAAACAACCACAUGUCGUGCGAUUCUAGUAGAUUCCUUUUUGUUUUGUGAUCAGGUUGUACCGUUCUAGGAUUUUUCACCAAAUGCAUCAUCAUCCACCAUUGCAAUAUAAGGUUGCAACCUUGAAAGAAAUGAUUCUCGACUUGACAUCUUCCCAAAGCUCGAUCUAUGUCAGCAACAAUCAUGGAAGGUAAGUUAUGGAAUAAAUUUUUAGAAUUGUACUCCAUUCCAAAGAAGAGUGCAUGGAUCACUGAGACAACCCUCGGAUGAAUUGUGUCAUUUUCCCCAUGUGGAAAAACCAUGGUUCCAAGUAAGCCUACCGCAAAUGCAAAGGCCCUCAUCUCCUUCCAUUUUGCUUCUGACUCAAAUUUAUUCCCAAAUUUGUGAAAAGCAUUGAAUCUUCCGAACCGACAAUACAAAUCAUGAAAAGUGAUAUUUUCUCCAUCACGUUCUCCUACCCAGGUGUCAUCAUUAGUUAAAAAUACCUCCUUGAUCUUUUGACGAUCCCACACAACUGGAACUAAAAUAUUCUUAUUAGGUGUCUCCCUUUUUUUAAAACACAUUUCAGUACUCUCGUAACAAAUCAAUACCUCUUCAAUGGUAGGAGUCAGUUCAACAUCCCCGAAGCAAAAUACCAUAUUCUGAUCAUCCCAAAAAUUUGUUAGUACAUGGAUUAUUUCAGGCCAAGCGUCCAUCUCAACCAAAGAAGGGAGAUGCCAGAUAUGCGUUCUAACAAUCUUUCUCUCUUCUGCGUUCAUGUGAUCCCACCAUAGUUUUAAGAAAUCAUCAGGUUUAAUAACCAUCUUGAACUUUUUGUGGAAUGUAGUUGAGUCAUAUCUUACAUGAAAGCAGUCAAACAUAAGGCUUCCCCCGACCCCAGAGGGUAAUGGAUUGAAUUAGAUAAGCAUAUAUUUUUUUCAACACAUCAAUAUGAUUCGUCUAUAAUUUACUCGGGGUCAAUAUACACAGGGAAGGUUUUCUAAUGGGCCCAACACCCCACUCAGGUAUUGGGUCGUCCUAGGCUCAUGCCUAAAAUAAGGUUUUGAUUUCGUUUUAUCAUCGGUGUCUAGAGUGGGUUUGAAAACUAGUUCUCAAGUGGACAACUUGAGUUUGAAAAUACGAACAACCAUCAGACGACUCACAUUCUAAUAAGCUGUUCGUAUUUCCAACACAUUUUGGAAUAGAACAAGAAGGGUCGAGACAUUCACGAAACCCCAAAACGGUUUAAAUAAUGCAGGAAUAUGCCAUGAGAUGUGAUAGUUAAACUUUACAGAAUCAAAACAUAUAAACAAAUAAACAGUUAAUCAAAAGACGAAAUCAAACAUUUGGUUAGAACCUAGUUCGAUCCCCAGCAGAGUCGCCAUUUCUGUUUUGCGGAGAAAUUUUUAACUUUUGAAAGAGUCGCCACUUAAUUUUGAAAAGGAAUCAAGAAACCUUUAAAGAAAUGCUUCAAACGGUUCAAAACAGGAAAAUCGUUUUAAGUUAGAGAUUCUAGGUAAGUGGUUCCUAUUAACGUUUUAGGAAGGUGUUAGGCACCUAAAACAUCCGCUAAGUUGCGGUUAUCCGAUCUGUUUGAAAACAUCUUUUGACUAACUCCAAAAAGGAUUAAAUUUGUUGAAAAGUAGUUGAUUGGGAAAAAAGUUUUUUGCAAAAAUCAAUUUUUUAGCGACUUUACUAAGGAUUUAAUUAGUUUCGCAAAACACAUAAGACAAACAAGAAUAAAGAAGAGGGGAAGGGGAGGAAGUAAGGGAUUUAGGCCAUUAGGCCCAAAUCAACGAGACCUGUCCUAGUCUAAUUGGGCUUUAGACCCAUUGUCUAGUUUUCGAGCCUUUGACUCGAAUCUUUCUCCAUAUGUAUUAAAUACAACUUUGUCUUCUAGGCCCAAAUGAAUGAAUAAAAAUAAAUAACUAAAUAAAUAAAGACAAAUAUAAAUAAAUUACUAAAUAACUGAAUGAAAUGGAAACCGACACUUUCAAGUCUCUCGGCUACUUCAAAUGUAGGUUUUUAACCCAUUUUCCUUCUUCGUUCGACUCUUCGUAUCAAUGCACUAUGUAACUUUAGACUCUCUUUCGGGCUUGACUUAAUGGAUGGGCCUUAUUGGCCCACUAGAGAAAGCAAAGAUUCCAUUAGACUCCAACAAAUUGUCAUGCAAAAAAAGAAAAAGAAACGAAAUUAAUGCACACCCACGAAAUGCUACAUGGAGAAAUAGUAUAACAAAUUGAUAAACAAACAGUCAACUGUAGUAACUCAAACGAACUGAAAGACAGUAAUUCGAAUUUGGCUGAGUCAUGCAAUAUAGUAACAGACACCAUAUCAGAAUAAAAUUGAAACUAGAGGCAUCACAAUAUCACAGCUUUUCCAAGAAAAAAAUGAAGCAUUGCUUUGCGAAGGAAAUUAUAGCUGAACUAAACUAAACAGGUUACAAAGCCACCCUAUUUAUCUAACAAACUACAAUUUGAUUAGAUUGAGCUUGGGGGAUACGUUCGUCCAAAUUAGAUUGAAAAAAAAAAAUUAGUGGAACCAUGCUAAACAUCAUUACACUAUCAAAAUGAUGAGUUAAAGAACUACAACAGGCAACAUUUCACCAUGGAGUUAAUCUAACGCAAGCAAUUAUAGGUGCAAGACUGAGGAUUUAAAAUUACAGCAAGCAAUGAUUUAUCGAUAAUCAGGAGAAACAGGAUAAAAAUCCAAUCUUGUCAUACUAAGCUGCAGAUAACAGGCUAAAGGGCUAGGAUUUAAAGUAAAGAAAGUGUUCAACGGAGGAAAGUAAUCAAACUACAUGAAAAAAUGGCUGCUAAAGAAUAGAUUUUACAUAUUCUUUAAAGAUUCGAUGGCUACUACGACAAUUUUGGAAUAAAGAGAAGUCUGAGAAAAUCCGAACUUCGAUGAACAAACCUCAUGACACAAGGUAAUCAAUUAAGGGUAGAACAACGAGAAUGUCUUCCCUAGAUGCCUAAUCUUCAUUAAAACUGAAUUCCAGAGGCAGCCAUCUGAACUUAUUAUUAUCUAACCUUUCAUACUAAAAAAAUCCGACACUCAUGCUAAUACAUCGAGAAAGGUCGACAUCAACGGAACAUAGAACUUUAAACAGGUUUUGAGGGGGAAAAAUAGUAAACAUCAAGCAUUAUUCGAUAGUCAGAAAAUGCCUUACAGAACACGAAAAGUUCUAGGCAAAUGAAACAAAAUUGAAUCAAAAGUAAAGAAAGAAGAGGGAAAGAAACUUGAAUGAACAUCGACUAGCCUAGGAAACAUAAAAUUAACCAUAAGAAUUUUAUUUUGAAGGUAGAUAAGGUGAAAAUCUAACAUGCGUCUAACUAUCAAAACANNNNNNNNNNNNNNAGGGAAAGCCUAGACAUUAUUCAAAGUAAGAUGUAAUUAAGCAAGUUGUAAUAUCUUGGCAAACUUUUUUACAGUGAAUGAUCAAAGCAACACCUUUUUUUUUCUUUAAUUAACAUAUAACAAGAACGCCAUUCGCACUUCUCAGAAAUACAUCUGUGAGGCCCUCCUUACUCUCUUUUCGACAUCAACUUGAAAUGAACUUUCGAAAGCCCAAAGCAGGGUCAUCAAGAGUUCAUGGGACUGUCUCCUUACCGCAGAUGUAUACCCAUCAUCUCUAUCAGUCUCAAAGGUCAAAAGCUAUGAGGUAGUCUGAAUCCUACUGAUUCAGUAAAUUAAACCAUCAUCGGUGACCUUGUAUUAAGGACAAGACAUAAGAAAACUGGGGUGAAUCAGAGCCAAGGUAUGAUAAAGAAGACAUAACUUGCCUAAAAUAGGAAUGUUCAAACAUAGAGAUAGUGAAUCAAACCAUAAGCAGCAUGCGGAAAAUGAAAACCAUGGUUAAAUAAUUAACUAACGAUAUUAAGUUUUAAACAACAGAUUGCAAAAUCGAGGGAAGCAACACGAAGCUGAAAUCACAGAUCAAACGAUUAUAAUAACAGUUAGCCUAGCAUAGCAAAAAACGCUACAUCAAAAAGGGAAACUAGAAAGGAAAGGCGCAAUCUUGAUGAUAUAAAUUUUUAUUCAUACCAUAAAUCUCAUAUAACCAAUAACGUCAAUUAAAAGACAGUAUAUUCGGCAUAAUCACAUUGAAAAUUACAACAUGAGCACUGCUUCAGCGAAAUGGCAUAACGAUUAUCACAAAACAACCCCUAAGGCCAUCACGGCCAUCUACUGCAAACAAAACCCAGCCUCAUUCAUAAUUACCGCCGAAAUAUUAACUAAUUCUACGUAGAGAAAGGGGGAUGAAGCAGAAAGUGCCAAAAUUAAAAGAACAAGAGUAUAUUCACCUCUUCUGGGGCAUCAAAAUAGGACGAUGAGCUGACAAUAGGAUACCGACCACCAGAAAAUAUUUUCAUCAACUCGGAGUCUCUUUCCUAGCCGAUGAAUUCUCUAAAAAUCAAAGGAAUUUCUACUGAAAGGUUGAAAUUCUAAGGAAUUUUCUUUCUUUUUCUUUAUUCCUCCUCUCUCUUUCUUGUCUUUCCUCUAAAAUUUUCCCAAAUUUCCCAACCCUCGAAUUUCUAACCUCCAGAGAACCUCUCUAGAAUUUUCAAAAAAAACACCCCUUCGAGACUUCUAAAACUCCCUUUUUAUAGAGAACAACUAGGGUUUUCUAGGACUUCAAUCCAAUGGAACAAAAAAAUUGGGCCUCUUGGGGGUAAUUUGAGGAUUUUAUUUCCAAAAGGAAUUUAAAAUUUAAAGUUAGAAAUGUUUUCCUCCAACAAACUCGUAUGAAUUUUGGAAUUUUCUUCGUGAAAUCCAAAAUUCUCCGCCAAUGGAUUUGAAGGGAUGCAAUUCCUUCAUGAACCAAUAGAAAUUCAGUAGGUGUGUACGAAUUCGUACCAAUAAACCCUAAAAUAUCUGGAUUCAACCAUUGGAGAGGCCAACGCAUCAUUUUCUAGAAGAUUCGACCAAUUUCUUUGUAAAUCUGCAUGGGUCAGGGUUGGGUCGAUUCAAACGGAGUUGGGUCGGUACUCGGGAAACUGGUUUUCACCAAAUUUGCGUUGGGUUUCACUGAUAUCAGCAUGGAGUUGGUAGUGGAAGUCAGUAUAAGGUCUGGUUUUGGGGUCGUUUGGAGCUGAUUAUCAUGUUUUUGGCUGUUUUGGUCGAUGUUGAAGGUUGUUCUUG